rnacentral:rRNA from 1 species
GAUGAACGCUGGCGGCGUGCCUAAUACAUGCAAGUCGAGCGAACGGACGAGAAGCUUGCUUCUCUGAUGUUAGCGGCGGACGGGUGAGUAACACGUGGAUAACCUACCUAUAAGGCUGGGAUAACUUCGGGAAACCGGAGCUAAUACCGGAUAAUAUUUUGAACCGCAUGGUUCAAAAGUGAAAGACGGUCUUGCUGUCACUUAUAGAUGGAUCCGCGCUGCAUUAGCUAGUUGGUAAGGUAACGGCUUACCAAGGCAACGAUGCAUAGCCGACCUGAGAGGGUGAUCGGCCACACUGGAACUGAGACACGGUCCAGACUCCUACGGGAGGCAGCAGUAGGGAAUCUUCCGCAAUGGGCGAAAGCCUGACGGAGCAACGCCGCGUGAGUGAUAAAGGUCUUCGGAUCGUAAAACUCUGUUAUUAGGGAAGAACAUAUGUGUAAGUAACUGUGCACAUCUUGACGGUACCUAAUCAGAAAGCCACGGCUAACUACGUG